rnacentral:rRNA from 1 species
CAGGCUUAACACAUGCAAGUCGAGGGGCAGCAUGGUCUUAGCUUGCUAAGGCCGAUGGCGACCGGCGCACGGGUGAGUAACACGUAUCCAACCUGCCGUCUACUCUUGGACAGCCUUCUGAAAGGAAGAUUAAUACAAGAUGGCAUCAUGAGUCCGCAUGUUCACAUGAUUAAAGGUAUUCCGGUAGACGAUGGGGAUGCGUUCCAUUAGAUAGUAGGCGGGGUAACGGCCCACCUAGUCUUCGAUGGAUAGGGGUUCUGAGAGGAAGGUCCCCCACAUUGGAACUGAGACACGGUCCAAACUCCUACGGGAGGCAGCAGUGAGGAAUAUUGGUCAAUGGGCGAGAGCCUGAACCAGCCAAGUAGCGUGAAGGAUGACUGCCCUAUGGGUUGUAAACUUCUUUUAUAAAGGAAUAAAGUCGGGUAUGGAUACCCGUUUGCAUGUACUUUAUGAAUAAGGAUCGGCUAACUCCGUGCCAGCAGCCGCGGUAAUACGGAGGAUCCGAGCGUUAUCCGGAUUUAUUGGGUUUAAAGGGAGCGUAGAUGGAUGUUUAAGUCAGUUGUGAAAGUUUGCGGCUCAACCGUAAAAUUGCAGUUGAUACUGGAUAUCUUGAGUGCAGUUGAGGCAGGCGGAAUUCGUGGUGUAGCGGUGAAAUGCUUAGAUAUCACGAAGAACUCCGAUUGCGAAGGCAGCCUGCUAAGCUGCAACUGACAUUGAGGCUCGAAAGUGUGGGUAUCAAACAGGAUUAGAUACCCUGGUAGUCCACACGGUAAACGAUGAAUACUCGCUGUUUGCGAUAUACAGCAAGCGGCCAAGCGAAAGCGUUAAGUAUUCCACCUGGGGAGUACGCCGGCAACGGUGAAACUCAAAGGAAUUGACGGGGGCCCGCACAAGCGGAGGAACAUGUGGUUUAAUUCGAUGAUACGCGAGGAACCUUACCCGGGCUUAAAUUGCAGAUGAAUUACGGUGAAAGCCGUAAGCCGCAAGGCAUCUGUGAAGGUGCUGCAUGGUUGUCGUCAGCUCGUGCCGUGAGGUGUCGGCUUAAGUGCCAUAACGAGCGCAACCCUUGUUGUCAGUUACUAACAGGUUCCGCUGAGGACUCUGACAAGACUGCCAUCGUAAGAUGUGAGGAAGGUGGGGAUGACGUCAAAUCAGCACGGCCCUUACGUCCGGGGCUACACACGUGUUACAAUGGGGGGUACAGAGGGCCGCUACCACGCGAGUGGAUGCCAAUCCCCAAAACCUCUCUCAGUUCGGACUGGAGUCUGCAACCCGACUCCACGAAGCUGGAUUCGCUAGUAAUCGCGCAUCAGCCACGGCGCGGUGAAUACGUUCCCGGGCCUUGUACACACCGCCCGUCAAGCCAUGGGAGCCGGGGGUACCUGAAGUGCGUAACCGCGAGGAGCGCCCUAGGGUAAAACUGGUGACUGGGG